CCAAAUCCAGAAGAAUGUAUUCUCUCUGAUGCUGCCAGCGGGUGUAGCCUUGAAGAUAUUCCGACCCGGAAACCAUAUAUAUUUUAUGGGUUUAUUACUCCACGCAUCAGAUUUUGAUCUACUCCCUCUCUUCGUCUCUAAAUAAACCCAUACCACAAUUGUCGUUCUUCCCUCACAUCUCAUUUGGGUCCCUGAGUUUUGUUCGAUAUUUUUUGACACGCUCUUUCAUCUCUUGCCGGUUUUUUUGGUUUAGCUUCUCUCUGAAGCCCGUUUGCUUUGCUUGGGUGGUGGCUGAAAUCCUUCAAUGUUUAUCUCAAUUUAUCAGAGAUAAGAGUGGGUAAUAGAUUCUGAGAUGCAAGCAAGAACAUGAAUUUCAUGAGGAACUGAAGUUCCCUAAUCGGAUGAACGAUUAACAACAUGGAAGGACAAGUGAAAGUUUUUGUCUGGGGAACAAUGUCGUUUGUUAAAGUUGCUGAUAUUAAGCCUGGACAUAAUAAUAUGAGUAUAAGAGUUCGCAUUUGUAGGAUGUUGAGGGGAACGAUUAUGCAACCCAUUGAGCAUGAUGAUAGCCUUCACAUCAUACUGGUUGAUAAGCAUAAUGAUGUUAUUCAUGCAAUUGUUAGAGAGGCUGAUUAUGACGAUGUCUCUAGGAAGGUUGUUGUUGGUUGCAUCUAUAAUAUUACUAAGUUUUAUAGCAAGGUCAGUCAGAAGCAGUACAAAGUUGUUCUGCAUGAGACACAUUUGGUCUUUGAUAACAGGACUUUGCUGGAAGUGGUUCCCGAUGUUUAUCCUCCUCUCCCUCGGCAUCGUUUUUACUUUGUGCAUUAUAAUGAUCUCUUGAAUCGUAAAAAUAACGAUGAUUUGUUAACUGAUAUU